CCUACGGGUGGCAGCAGUGAGGAAUAUUGGUCAAUGGACGAGAGUCUGAUCCAGCCAAGUAGCGUGAAGGAUGACUGCCCUAUGGGCUGUAAACUUCGUUUAUAUGGGAAUAAAAUGUUCCACGUGUGGGAUUUUGUAUGUAUCAUAUGAAUAAGGAUCGGCUAACUCCGUGCCAGCAGCCGCGGUAAUACGGAGGGUCCGAGCGUUAUCCGGAUAUAUUGGGUUUAAAGGGAGCGUAGGUGGAUUGUUAAGUCAGUUGUGAAAGUUUGCGGCUCAACCGUAAAAUUGCAUUUGAAACUGGCAGUCUUGAGUACAGGAGAGGUGAGCGGAAUUCGUGGUGUAGCGGUGAAAUGCUUAGAUAUCACGAAGAACUCCGAUUGCGAAGGCAGCUCACUGGACUGCAACUGACACUGAGGCUCGAAAGUGUGGGUAGCAAACAGGAUUAGAUACCCGUGUAGUC
rnacentral:rRNA from 1 species